rnacentral:rRNA from 1 species
GACGUAGGAGGCGAGCGUUAUCCGGAUUCACUGGGCGUAAAGCGCAUGUAGGCGGAUGUCUAAGUCGUGUGUUAAAGCCCCUGGCUCAACUGGGGGAGGUCAUGCGAGACUGGAUGACUUGAGGGCAACAGAGGCACGUGGAACUCCCGGUGUAGCGGUGGAAUGCGUAGAUAUCAGGAGGAACACCGGCGGUGUAGACGGCUAUCUGGACAGCAACUGACGCUGAGACACGAAAGCGUGGGGAGCAAACAGG